CAAGUGCAGGCAUGGUCCCCAUCUAGCAGCCAGGGCCCACGAAUGACAUGGGUCACACAAGGCUGACUAAAAUCAGAGGGGCCUGUGUGUAGGUUGAGAGAAAGUCCAUGAGAAAUAGAGGAACAGAGAGAGAUAGCCAGACAGCAAACACCCUCAUCCAGUCUGCAAACACCCUCAUCCAGUCUGCAAACACCCUCAUCCAGUCAGCCCUCUCAUUUCACCCAGACUCCUGCAAAAGCUUCCAGAAUGGUCUUCCCUGUUAUACAGCCCUUGCCACUAUCCCUGCCCAUCCUCCACACUGGGCCAAUUUGCCCCGUAAGAACAUAGAUUUCUUCAAGCCCAUGCUUCCAUGUCUUCAAUGGCUUCCUAUUACUCUUAGCACAAAAGCCCAGAGCCUUCAUGCUGUCUAAUGUAGGCUGCUGUGGCCUGAGUUCCCCUGAAGGGAGAGCCCUAGGCAAGGCUCCCAGGCAGAGGAUUUGUUUGGGAAGUGAUUCUAGGAGCAGGACUGGGGUACUGGGAGGAGUGACACAGAGAAGGACAGAAGGCUGAUGCCGGGAGAAAUUCUUGAUAGGGUCACCCAUGUGGGCGACUGGAGACCUCCUGAGGAGUCUUCAAGGAGCGUCUUCAGAAUGUUCCUCUACAGGGAGGAGAGAGGGAGGCCUGUAACCACUGCUCCUGUCCCCCAUGGCCUUGCCCCAGUGGACAUUAAUUAUCUGUAUUUCCAUGCAUAGAAUAUAGAACUGCUGGGCGCCUCAGCUGGAGCCCAGAGCAGGGGCAAGAGAUACAGAAUGCACAAAAUCACCCCAGAACCUCUCCUAAGUCACUCGUAAAGUGCACCCAGGGCCUACUUAGUCCUUUUUUAUGUAGCAUCCUGCAGAACACUUGCCUCAGUCCCUGUAACUCUCCAUCAGCCAAGGCUUCCCUGACCUUCAGUUGAUUCAUCUAUUUCUUCCUGAAGAAGUCAACAGAGCAACGGCCACCGACUUGCCUAACGCCAGAACAUUGUGUUUCAUUUGUCUGUCAAUUGUUCAUCAAUUCCUGGAUAAUUCCCAUUCUUUUCAUACAUUUCACUUAAGCUUUGAAUGUUUCUGGCACUGAGUAAUUUACUUCUUCAGUGAUCCAGCCAGCAUUUGCCCUGACACUUAGAGUUGAAAUGCCAUCAGGCUACCUGCAUUUGAUGCAAUUCCACUGUACUGCUAGUAUUGUUUAAAAAUUUUUCAAUUGCAAGCAACAGAAACAGAAACUAUCUGUCUUAAACAAAAUAGAAGAUUCAUUGGAUGAAAACUAGAGCAGGUCAGAGGAUGGAAGGAAGAACAAAAUCUACAGAAUUUGGAAGGACAGGAGCAGACCAUUACCAACAUCAGGAAUAUAUGGUUUGCCCUUUCAGGGCUCUGCCUGCACCUGGCUUAGCUCCACACACUUUGAUUCCUAGUGUCUCUGAUUAAAGUUUCACAUACUCAGUAGACAGAAUAGCUUGGGUUAGUGACUCUUCUUGAACUAAUCAGUGAGGCUAUGGUAUCAGGAAUGGGGAUGGGUAACAGAGACACAAACCCUAAUGGGAAGCCUCUGGCCAAACAGCCACCUGAAUUUGUGCUCAUUGUAUACAGUCAAUCGCUUGCUACUGCACACACACUCUUCUUCUCAUACAAACAAAAAGAACUCUCCUUAUCUGCUAUGAACCCAGCCAUCCCAAGGAAAAAGGCAAAUGCACUUGCCUCUUCCCCAGUGAGAGCCACACACAGCAUCUCCACCUUCUGCAUGCUGAAGUUAUGUCACAGGAGGAGGGCCUCAGCACACGAUCAAUUUUUCUUUUGGUCCAUUGGCAGCUUCUGUCUCAGAAUUUUUGUGUGUGUAUAUUUGUAGAAAAUAAAGAGGUACGGUCAAGGCUACAGCCACUACUGACCAUUGCUGCCACCAUCAG
rnacentral:lncRNA from 1 species